AUUGAACGCUGGCGGCAGGCCUAACACAUGCAAGUCGAACGGUAACAGGAAGCAGCUUGCUGCUUUGCUGACGAGUGGCGGACGGGUGAGUAAUGUCUGGGAAACUGCCUGAUGGAGGGGGAUAACUACUGGAAACGGUAGCUAAUACCGCAUAACGUCGCAAGACCAAAGAGGGGGACCUUCGGGCCUCUUGCCAUCGGAUGUGCCCAGAUGGGAUUAGCUUGUUGGUGGGGUAACGGCUCACCAAGGCGACGAUCCCUAGCUGGUCUGAGAGGAUGACCAGCCACACUGGAACUGAGACACGGUCCAGACUCCUACGGGAGGCAGCAGUGGGGAAUAUUGCACAAUGGGCGCAAGCCUGAUGCAGCCAUGCCGCGUGUAUGAAGAAGGCCUUCGGGUUGUAAAGUACUUUCAGCGGGGAGAAAGGGAGUAAAGUUAAUACCUUUACUCAUUGACGUUACCCGCAGAAGAAGCACCGGCUAACUCCGUG
rnacentral:rRNA from 1 species